ensembl:lncRNA
GCCUAACCCAGCUCAUAAUUGACUAAACAGCAUGGACCAGGGGAGAGAGUAUUGGAGAGCUCAGUUUUACUUUUGCUUUAGAUGCUGCCUGGUGAGGUCUGGACAGUUCCCCCCUCCCUCACCCUUUUCCUUCACUGUAUCAAGGUUAAAUGUGGACAUCAGUUUUCAGCUCACUUGGAUAAAUACCAAAGAACAUGACUGCUGGAUCUUAUGAUCCUCAUCAGAAUUUGUCAGUUUUGAGUUUCACAAUUCUAUAGAGGCUCUUCAGUUCGCUUUCUGCCAUACGGGUGGUGUCAUCUGCAUAUCUGAGGUUAUUGAUAUUUCUCCCGGCAAUCUUGACUCAAGCUUGUGCUUCAUCCAGCCCAGCAUUUUGCAUGAUGAACUCUGCAUAUAAGUUAAAUGAGCAGGGUGAGAAUAUAUAGCCUUGACGUACUCCUUUCCCAAUUUGGAACCAGCUCAUUGCUCCAUGUCCAGUUCUAACUGUUGCUUCUUGAACUGCAUACAGAUUUCUCAGGAGGCAGUCAUGUAUGGAUGUGAGAGUUGGACUGUGAAGAAAGCUGAGCACUGAAGAGUUGAUGCUUUUGAACUGUGGUGUUAGAGAAGACUCUUGAGAGUCCCUUGGACUGUAAGGAGAUCCAACCAGUCCAUCCUAAAGGAGAUCGGUCCUGGGUGUUCAUUGGAAGGACUGAUGUUGAAGCUGAAACUCCAAUACUUUGGCUACCUGAUGUGAAGAGCUGACUCACUUGAAAAGACCCCGAUGCUGGGAGGAAUUGAAGGCAGAAUAAGGGGAUGACAGAGGAUGAGAUGGCUGGAUGGCAUCACCGACUCGAUGGACAUGGGUUUGGGUGGACUCUGGGAGUUGGUGAUGGACAGGGAGGCCUGGCAUGCUGCGGUUCAUGGGGUUGCAAAGAGCUGGACACAACUAGUGACUGAACAGAACUGAGUAUUCCAGUUUUAAAAAUCAAUUUUAGAGAAAUAUAGAUAUUUCAAUUUCUUGAACUCUUUUGCUAACUGACACCAAAUUUUACCUGGGGACAUCUUUAAAAUGUCCUCUAAUUAUUUGAUCUCUACUUACUUCUUCAUUGAACAUGUUAUAUUUUUUCUUCUGUACUAAUUUAACAUUUUAGUGGCAACUAUGUUUCAUGCUUUUUACAAGUUGUUCAUCAAGUCAACCUUGAUACUGAAUUUAUCUGAGGUUUAUACUAAUCCCCCUCAUCUACUUCUGUUGUUUUUUCCUCUUGUCUUUAAGGUCCUCUUUCAUUAAAUGGAAGUUUUUGUUGGUGUUUCUAUUGCGGUGAGACUUGAGGAGAUCUAAUUAAAAAUAAAACCUCCUCCGAACUCAGAAAACUCCUCCAAAACAUUGAGGAUAAAGAAUGUCUUACUAUUGAAUAAAUAUUAAAACAGAAUGACAAUAGGAUAACAAUAGUAGGUAACCUUUCCCAAUAUUUGCCAUGUUCCCCACUCAAAGCUAAUUGGCUGACAUUCAGCAGUGCAUUUAGUUCUCAUAAAAUCUUUAUAAGGUGAUUUUUAAAAAAUUCUCAUUUUACAAUGAGGCUCAGAAAUAAGAGUAACAUAUAUUGUCACACAACUGGUGGAGACUGCAUUUAAGCUUAGGUUUCUCCAACUCUAGAAAGCCUAUUCUCACCACUUUGUCUUAUUGCUUUCUUCCUUCCAAAGUUGUUUAUGAUACAUCAGUAAUACAACUUACAUUAGAAUAUAUAAAUAUAAAAACAGCAUUGUUGGGGGCCAGCGUGAGGUACUCUGCCCAUGGCAAAGGUCAUGAGGAAGGAGGCUCGACAUACGCAAAGGCGGGAUCCAGCCUCAGGAGUCCCCCUGGAAAUCCUCGAGCAUCUACCCCCAUAACCAGAGCCUGCCUACUUUACUACUUUGUGCUCUACACCUCUGACUUUAAGGGGAGCUGUCCCCCACCACCUCUUUCGGAGAAGGAGUUAACUUAGAGCUCCAGUUAAUAAUAAUUCCUGGGCGUGAUAAGAGUGUUUUAACCUACAAACUCCUCUGAAGGUUCUCUAGCCUGCCUGACAGGCUUGUCCGGCCACAUGUGAUUGCUCACAGCCUCCCAACCAUCAGAGGCAUGAGAUGCUUUAAACCUUCUAAAACCAGGUUCUUUAGAGAAGUUAGAAAAUUAUUAGUAUAAGUAUAGUGGGCUGAUUAGAAAUUGUAUUGGUGAAGGGUUUUUCAUUUGUUGAGCCAAUGUUUACUGCUAAGUCUCCACUUCCCCUGCCCUUAUACACAUUAAUGAAUAUAUAGAAGAAAUAAGUAUUAACCUUUGAUAUAAAUCACGUUAGACCUUAGGCCAAGUAAAUUCUUUCCUUAACUAAAACCCACUACACCC